rnacentral:rRNA from 1 species
CCUACGGGAGGCAGCAGUAGGGAAUAUUGCUCAAUGGGGGAAACCCUGAAGCAGCAACGCCGCGUGGAGGAUGAAGGUUUUCGGAUUGUAAACUCCUUUUGUUAGAGAAGAUAAUGACGGUAUCUAACGAAUAAGCACUGGCUAAAUCCGUGCCAGCAGCCGUGGUAAUACGGAGGGUGCAAGCGUUAAUCGGAAUCACUGGGCGUAAAGGGCGCGUAGGCGGGAUAGCAAGUCAGAUGUGAAAUCCUAUGGCUUAACCAUAGAACUGCAUUUGAAACUGUUAUUCUAGAGUAGGGGAGAGGUAGGUGGAAUUCUUGGUGUAGGGGGAGAAACGGU